rnacentral:rRNA from 1 species
UACGAAGGGGGCUAGCGUUGCUCGGAAUUACUGGGCGUAAAGGGCGCGUAGGCGGAUAUUUAAGUUAGAGGUGAAAGCCCAGGGCUCAACCCUGGAACAGCCUUUAAUACUGGAUAUCUUGAGUUCGGGAGAGGUGAGUGGAACUCCGAGUGUAGAGGUGAAAUUCGUAGAUAUUCGGAAGAACACCAGUGGCGAAGGCGACCCACUGGCCCGAUACUGACGCUGGAGGCGCGAAAGCGUGGGGAGCAAACAGG